CAUCCAUUCUUAUCCUCAUAACAUGUCAUCAUCUUCUCCAAAUCUCCUAAAGUUUCAAAUGGUGGAAUUCUUCUUCCCUAGGGCUUGUUCUCACUCCUUCUUUACUUCAAAAUAACUCUUAUCUCUUGGAAGUUUUUACCUCCUUGUGCUUUUGCAACCCUUAAGAUGGUGAAACCUCAACCAAGGAUAAGGGCUUGGCUAAGGAUUAGCUGUGUGUAAGACCCAAAGUUCAUAGUUUUGUGAGUGAAUUUAUGUUGAUUUUGCAUAGUUCUACUAGAGGUUAAAAUAUGAAAUGAAAUAUUUUGUUUUACUAAAGCUUCUUCUCAACUUAAAUAUAGUUUAAUGCAAAACCAUGAAAAUAUGUUUGGAAACAAAAAGCUAUUCCUUUACGUAUUUAAGGUUUUUGGACAUUUGUAUUUUGGUAUACUUAUGGUUAGUAUGCCUAUUAGCUUAUUCUAUUUGAAAAGGAUGGUUUACACGUGAUGGUUAUACAUAUGGUUUGUUAGGAAAAUGGCUUCCAUGUUUGGGUUAUUCUUGCUAUUGGCAGGUUUAAAUGUAUAUUGAACUCAUGUUAUGGAGCUCUGAUGACAAUAGAAAAUAUGUCCUUUUACAUGUAUGGCAUUAGCAUAUUGUGAGGUUCUAGUACUUUACUGUAGUAGUGACUGGUGUGACCUCUGUGCGGCCACACGACUGCCACACAGCCUGGCAGAGCCCCUUGUGGCCGCCCAGCACUCGCACCCCCCUGCGAGUGCACCUAUUUCUUGAUUUUGAUCCCUAAUUCGAGCCUCGAGCAGGCUCCAUUCGGCCGCAUGUAUGCCCACACACCUGGGCGACUAUAUGAACCGAUUUUAGGGUUUUCAAGAGGGAGCUUGACCGCCACACAUCUCCAAGUGCUCCUAGUGCGCAAUACCUUGGGAGAAUGUUAAUUCAUACUAGAAUCAAAGGGAGAAGAAGAUGGAACUUAAGGGGAACAUCAAGAGCUUGACGGCGUGGAUCGGAUGAGGUUUCAUCACCACCAUUAAUUAAUGGAAUAGGGGGUUUGCGAUGAACCUUUACAUUGUUAAUUUGUAUUUCUAACUUUCUCUUAUUUUGAUGUUGAAUUGAACUCCCAAGGCCACCAUGCUUUAGUGAACCUUGGGAGGAAACUUGUAUGGAUAAUGCUUUAAUUUUAAAUUAUCUUUUGGCA